UACGUAGGUGGCAAGCGUUGUCCGGAUUUAUUGGGUUUAAAGGGUGCGUAGGCGGUUUUUUAAGUCAGUGGUGAAAUACAGCCGCUUAACGGUUGAGGUGCCAUUGAUACUGGGAAACUUGAGUACAGACGAGGUAGGCGGAAUUGACGGUGUAGCGGUGAAAUGCAUAGAUAUGUCACAGAACACCGAUUGCGAAGGCAGCUUACUAUGGUUUUAUUGACACUGAGGCACGAAAGCGUGGGGAUCAAACAGG
rnacentral:rRNA from 1 species